CAGAAAUAGCAGGCACAUAGACAAAAGCUAGAUUGUGUGGUUCAGCCUCCAAGUGUAGUAGGAGUUCAAAGAAGGGAAAAAUGAGUGUGGGCUGGGGUUUCUUAGGAAACUCUUAUGGGGGAAACGGAGCUCAAAAAUACAUUUAACAUUGUUGUAAAGGGUUGAAGAUCUCAUAUAAGCUUUCACUAAAGCACAAAUCCCCUCUUCCCAGGAGCAUAAAGUCUUUUUCCAAUUAAGGCAGUCUCUCCACAACACAGACAAAGGUCAUCUCUCUGAUCCCACCAUCCCCAAACCAUUUUCUACAAACACAGAGAA
rnacentral:lncRNA from 1 species